GCCCUACAUGCUGGAAGCUAUUAUUUGAGCAAUCGCACCGACGACACUGAUAUACUACAACCACACGACUUGUUUACGCUGAGAGCCAGCGCUGAAGAGUUCGUAAAGGCAGUUCUUUGUACAGUUGAUCAACAAGUCAUAUAAGAAAGAGACCUACAUAGAAAACGUGAUGAGGUCAAAACGAAUGUCAGCUGCACAGAAAGCAGCAAAAGCAAAAGAAAGAAGGAAGUCAAAGACAGAGAACCUCCCGAGUUUAGAGGGUGACUCGUUAAAAAACCCUGGCAACUCGUGUUCCUUGUCAGGAACUAUGGCCGAAACUAACGAAGUUAGUGGCCAGAGGCUUGUCAAGUCCUCUUUAAAAAAGCUUGACACAGAAACAAGAACAAAAACAAGAACAAAAACAAGAACUGAAACAAGAACAAAACUGAACAAUGAAACAAGAACUGAAACAAGAACAAAACUGAACAAUGAAACAAAAACUGAAACAAGAACAAAACUGAACAAUGAAACAAAAACUGAAACAAGAACAAAACUGAACAAUGAAACAAGAACUGAAACAAGAACAAAACUGAACAAUGAAACAAGAACUGAAACAAGAACAAAACUGAACAAUGAAACGGAAGCAGAACUGAACAAUGAAACAAGAACAAAACUGAACAAUGAAACAAGAACUGAAACAAGAACAAAACUAAACAGAGAAACGGAAACAAAACUGAACAAUGAUACUGAAACAAAACUGACCAAUGAAAAAAGAACAAAAUUGAACAAUGAGUCAGAAACAAGAACAAGACUAAAAGAUAAUAAAGAAACCAAACUGAACAAUGAAACAGAAACAAGAAUUCAAGAGAACGAUGUUAAAGAAGCUAAACUGAGCUUUGAAACAGAAACAAGAUCAAAACCAGAAACAAGAACAAAGCUGAAUAACAAAAGAGUAACAAACCUGAGCAACCAAAAAGAAAAGGGCAUUGGAAAGGAAACAAAACUGAGCAUUGGAAAAAAAACAAAACUGAGCAAUGAAAAAGAACAAGAUACAAAGCCGAAAAAUAAAAAAGAAACAAAACUGAGUCAAGAAAAAGAAAGGGGUAUAAAAACAAACAUGAACAAUGAAAAAGAAACAAAAGCAUUACUAAGUACUGAAAGAAAACCUACCAAUAAGUCCAAACAAAAAAUCGGAAUGCAGGAAACAAAACGUGCAACUAAACCACGCAAAGUUACUCACUACGAUGAAAUCAAAUCAGGGGAAAUAGAAGAUGAUCUCAGAAUGUCAAACAAGCGCAAAAUAACUCGAACGGCUGACAAAGUAAGGAGUGGCGAGAUUACUGAUGCAACUAAGAAGACACGUGUUUCAAUUUCAACCGAUAUUCAAAAUCCGAUUGAAAACAAACUUCGCCAAUUAUCUGAGCCAGACUAUGGAAAAUGGGACUUUAGGGCACAUUACGAAGUUGUACUGUCAGUGGAGGAGAAAAAUAACAACUUUUCACAGCCAUUAGCAAAUACAGCAUUAGAGGAGAUAGUUCAUAUAGCACCGAAAACACCCAUGCCCAUUACAACGGAAGUCUCUACAGAAAACGAGACCUUUUAUUACCAAUGUGCAAGUUCUGACAAUGGAAUGGAAGAGAUCCAGCAAAGCACCACACUGCAUGAAGCAUUGGAUAUAGCUCUUGUCGAAUCUGAUGGUGCAUUUGUAACAUUCAAAGGCAAUACCUACAUUAUUCUGAAGGACAGAAACUCCUUCUAUGUUUUUGAUCCUCACUCUAGAGAUAAGUAUGGUAAAGUGUCGGGAUGUGGAACUAGUAUACUUCUUGAGUUUCACACAACAGAAGAGCUUAGUUUGCAUUGUACAGAGUUGGCAAAUUCUAUGAAAGCCACUAGGUUUGAACAGUUUGAGAUCACGGGUGUAAAAGUUGCGAAUUCUUAUUUAUGCCAAAUGGACACUUGUACCACUGAAACCGCUGUUCAGAUAGAGUCCAUCAACUUCGCAGAAAUGCAUACACUUCAGACAAUGCAAUACCAGCUCAGGGCAAAGGAGGAGUAUGUGUCUACAGAAAGCUCAACAGGCAAUGCCAGUAUGAACGAGUUAUUUUACCUAUUGACAAUCUAGAAUACAUAGCUUUUAAAGCGAAUAAUGUAUUAUUUAUUACAUUGUACCGAC
rnacentral:sRNA from 1 species